rnacentral:rRNA from 1 species
GACGCACGCUGGCGGCGUGCCUAAUACAUGCAAGUCGAACGCAGUGGGGACGGGUGCGUAACACGUGGGUAACCUCCCAUCAGAGGGGAUAACACUUGGAAACAGGUGCUAAACCGAUACUGAUGGAUGGCCCCGCGGUGCAUUAGCUAGUUGGUGAGGUAACGGGUCACAAAGGCUACGAUGCAUAGCCGACGGUUAAGGGUGAUCGGACACACGGGAACGGAGACAAGGCCCAGACGACUAGGAGAGGCAGCAGUAGGAAAUGGUGGGCAAUGGACGAAAGUAUGACCGAGCAAAGCCGCGUGAGUGAAGAAGGUUUUAGGGUCGUAAAACUCUGUUGUUAGAGAAGCGGGAUCUAACCAGAAAGCCACGUCUAACUACGUGCCAGCAGCCGCGGUAAUUC